UUUCCCAGUGUAGUGCCAGCAGGGCUGGCCCAAAUGGGAAUACAAAAAAUCCUCAUGUACAAUUUGUAUUCUAACCUUUUGGCAGCGGAGCGCAACCAUGACAAUGUUAAUGCACUAGAACAUUAUACCAGAAAUAUCUCAUACAUGGGGCGGACGUACAACCUGGAUGCUAUGGCUCAGCACCAAGAUGGUGCCAUGGCCGUGUUGGAUGAUGUUGCUAUGUGUACAGCGGUCCUGGCUGCUAUUGUUCCAGAAGUAUGUAAUCGGGUAGCGAUGGCCACCAUAAGGGAGGGUCAGCAUCCACUUGUGGAGGUGUUUGCGGACAAUGUUCCCAUGCUACAGAGAGGGCAAGAAUUGAAUGUUGAGCAGGAUAUUAUGCUCAUGGGGCUGUUUAUGGCAUAUACUCACAAGCUUGGUUCAAUAUUUAAUCUGAGUACGCGGCUCUGUUUGGGUGCCUACUCCCACGAGACAAAAAUAGGAACCUGUUGGCUCUAGCUCAUCAUGCCAGAAGAAAUAGAACUUAGGUCUCUGGGAAGAAACAGUAGUGGUGAGGUUGUGCUAAAUGGACCCUACCACUGUUCUGAAAAUUCCAGAUGUCCAGACUGUGAAAAGUUUUCAUAUCUGGCAUACUCCUUUCUUAUAUUCUUGACAGUACUGCUAUUUUCAGUGUAUCUACUUUUUGUGUGUCCAUUUGAAAUAAAACAUUUGUAUGGUACUUGGCAGAGUGGAGACUCUAUAUUGGCUGGAGAAGUGGGGCCCAUAUUGAACAGAACUGUUACUUCAAAAUCUUGUUGGAGGGGGCCCAGAUGUGAAAUGUUUAUUCCAAACAUCCCUAUUAUCCUGCCAAAUGAUACAAUUUAUCCAAAUUUUACAAAUUACAAUGGAAGCUAUGCUGAUUAUAGGACUACUCUUCAAGAAAUAAUUCAUACCAUCUUAUAUGAUCAAUGUAACGUCACUGUUUUGUUGCACACAUCCUUUGGGAAGACAUAUGGUAUGGAUGAUGUAUUUUUUAAAACAGUCAUGUAUAAACUCAUCACUUCAUUUUUGAUGGAGGGAAGUACCAUGUGUGAUCUGAAGACGGCAGCCAGGGAUGUUUAUGUCUUACACUCACUAUCCCACCUCCAUGAUGUUGGAAAGGGCUGUAAACUAAGACUUGAUAACAUUUAUGAUGAAUCUUCAGGGAGCCACUACAGUCGAGAGUGUGUAAAGCAGUUUGAUUGUAUGUUGUGUAUUUACCCCAAGUCUAUAAGUGUUUCCUUUAAUUAAAAACUACCACCCACUAUAUUUAAAAUUUGUACAAAUAAAAUGUGGUACGUGUCAGAAAAUUACACUAUGACAGAAACAACUACCAUCUCUGGACAAACAUCAUCUGGAUUUUCAUUUCAUGUGCCUAUCAUGGUCAUAGUGUUGAUUUUGCUGAUUAUUGGACUGUUGCUGUAUGGAGCAUAUAAGUGCUUUUUCUGGGUUAUGUACAAGCGGGCACAGAUAAUGGGGUUGCCAGCCCAAGCACUCUUGUCACGUGUAAAGGUGUAAAAAUCAUUGUACAAACUUGACUAAAUAAAGAUUAUUUUAUUGAAAAA
rnacentral:tmRNA from 1 species